rnacentral:rRNA from 1 species
UCACCAGACUCCUACGGGAGGCAGCAGUGAGGAAUAUUGGUCAAUGGGCUUACGCCUGAACCAGCCAAGUCGCGUGAGGGAAGACUGCCCUAUGGGUUGUAAACCUCUUUUGUCAGGGAGCAACGCCGGCUACGUGUAGCCGGACUGAGAGUACCUGAAGAAAAAGCAUCGGCUAACUCCGUGCCAGCAGCCGCGGUAAUACGGAGGAUGCGAGCGUUAUCCGGAUUUAUUGGGUUUAAAGGGUGCGUAGGCGGAAUGCCAAGUCAGCGGUAAAAUCGCGGGGCUCAACCUCGCUCCGCCGUUGAAACUGGCGUUCUUGAGUGGGCGAGAAGUACGCGGAAUGCGCGGUGUAGCGGUGAAAUGCAUAGAUAUCGCGCAGAACUCCGAUUGCGAAGGCAGCGUACCGGCGCCAGACUGACGCUGAGGCACGAAAGCGUGGGGAUCGAACAGGAUUAGAUACCCUCGUAC